AGGAGGCAGUGGCAACUUGUCGCAAGGCAUUGGUAAGUUGGUAACUCAGUGACUGUGGGGGAGUGUCUACCGUAUCGUAGCGCCGUAGUGGCAGUCUGGAUUAGAGCAAAACACUACAUUGUGGAAGUGUUGAGGUGGGAGCAGCAGUGGUUGGUUGAAGAACGGGCGGAGGAACACGGAUAUCGAAAGUCAUUCCCCAGAUGAUGGUUAUAUAUUAGCAGCUGAUCACAAGAAAUCCAAGCAAGAUGAUGCAGUUUAUGCUGUUAUUCAGUCGGCAAGGGAAGUUGCGCCUGCAGAAGUGGUAUGAGGCACAUCCAGAUAAGUUAAAGAAGAAGAUCACCCGAGAAUUGAUAUCCACUAUCUUGGCAAGGAAGCCCAAGAUGUCCUCCUUCUUGGAAUGGAGGGAUCUCAAGAUUGUGUACAAGAGGUAUGCAUCUCUGUACUUCUGCUGUGCCAUUGAGCAACAGGACAAUGAACUUCUUACACUGGAGGUGAUCCAUCGCUAUGUUGAGCUACUUGACAAAUACUUUGGCAGUGUUUGUGAGUUAGACAUCAUCUUCAACUUUGAAAAAGCAUACUUCAUGCUGGAUGAGCUCAUGGUGGGCGGGGAAGUGUGUGAGACGAGCAAGAAGAAUGUACUGAAGGCCAUAGCUGCGCAGGACCUGCUGCAGGAGGAUGAGGCAGUGGAGGGGGCGCUGCGCGAGAUUGGGCUGUACUAGUGUGUGCAGCUGCAUCAGUAACCCUCCCCUCUGCUCCUCCCUUCCCUUGAUUGUCAGCCGAGGUGUCUUUUGUUAAUGAUAUUAAGGAUGAAAUCGUGGAAAUGGCCCUUAGAGAUAUGGGUCUAAUUUGAGGCUCUCUCUGUAACAUUGUUUUCAAUGGCUCUCAAAACUAUUUCACAUGACAGUACAGAUGAUAUUAUUAUGGACUUGGAAUAGAUGAUAAUACAAAGAGUCAUCAUCAAUAUUCUUAGUUGGUAAAUAAUUCUAAAAUGUGCAAUUACUAUUUAAGAGGUUUAAGGGUUAAACAGGGAGACCAUUCCAUUUUUGAUAGUUGAUGUACAGUCUGUAAAAUGUAACUUUAGUCUUGCAUCUUGGCCCUAAGUUAUUGUGAAUGUGGAUCCCAACCUGGUAGUAGAAUAUUUAUACAAAAACAUGUUACGCUUGUAAUAUGUGGCAGCAUACACAGCAUAGGCUCUCUAACACUAUUAGGAGUAAAAAUAUUUUGCUUAUUUAUUGUUAAUAUUCUUUGCCCCCAAAAUGUACUUUAAACUCCUGGCCAUUAAGGUGAGACCCUUAGACCUUUAUCCCACCAUCUACUCCUGGCCUGACUUAUACUAGAAGCCGUGCUUGAAUUUGCCUAUGUAGUGGUGCAGUACAUAGUGGGCAUGUACCCUGGCUACCCAUCAUGCUUUCAGGGUAUUUUCUCCUGUGUAACAUUGUAAUGUAGUGAGCCAGCAUGUGCUGGUGGUGGUAAAACUGCUGGAAAUAAAUCUGGUUUGCA
rnacentral:misc_RNA from 1 species